rnacentral:misc_RNA from 1 species
UACGGAAGGUGCGAGCGUUGUUCGGAAUGACUGGGCGUAAAGCGCACGUAGGCGGGUUCGCAAGUCAGCUGUGAAAGCCCUGGGCUUAACCUGGGAAUUGCAGUUGAAACUACGAAUCUUGAAUGCCCGAGAGGGUGGCGGAAUUCCGGGUGUAGAAGUGAAAUUCGUAGAUAUCCGGAGGAACACCAGAGGCGAAGGCGGCUACCUGGUGGUGCAUUGACGCUGAGGUGCGAAAGCGUGGGGAGCAAACAGG